CCGUAGGAGUCCGGACAAGGCUUACUAGCAGUUGAAGUUGAGGAUGGAGCCUGGCUCACGUAGGAGUCCGGGCGAAGUCUACUUGCGGUUGAAGUCGUGGGUGGAGUCCGGCUCCCGUAGUAGUCCGGACGAAGUCUGUCUGCAGCCGUUGGAGUCGAGGAUGAGGCCCGGCUCCCGUAGGAGUCCGGGUGGAGUCUUCCUGCAAUUAAAGUCAAAGGUGA
rnacentral:lncRNA from 1 species